rnacentral:rRNA from 1 species
AUUGAACGCUGGCGGCAUGCCUUACACAUGCAAGUCGAACGGCAGCGGACCUUCGGGUGCCGGCGAGUGGCGAACGGGUGAGUAAUAUAUCGGAACGUACCUUUCAGUGGGGGAUAACGUAGCGAAAGUUACGCUAAUACCGCAUAUUCUGUGAGCAGGAAAGCAGGGGAUCGCAAGACCUUGCGCUGAUUGAGCGGCCGAUAUCAGAUUAGCUAGUUGGUGAGGUAAAGGGCUCACCAAGGCGACGAUCUGUAGCGGGUCUGAGAGGAUGAUCCGCCACACUGGGACUGAGACACGGCCCAGGACUCCUACGGGAGGCAGCAGUGGGGAAUUUUGGACAA